rnacentral:lncRNA from 1 species
ACAACCAAAAUCCCUUAAUAACGGGGGACUCGAACCUCCCUAGGGACCGUCAACUGGUGGGACUUUACCACGCCCAGUGGUGACCAACUCCGGAGCGCACCGCCCGAGGGGGAGCGACCUCCCUCAAGCCACGACGAUAGGUGAGUAUCGAUCUAAUCCUCAACUUGAGGACUCAUAGCCAUUAGUCACAAUGCCAAUAUCACAAUAGGAUUCUACCUAUUUAUUCUUGCCACUCUCCAGGCUUUAUCUUCGACCAUAACAUCACGGGUCAAACUAUAUUCAACGGUCAUCUCUCAAUGCAAUUCUUGUUUCUAUGUCCAUGACACCCUUGUUUACUAAUUGUCCAAGUCCAUUCUUACAUUCACACAACUUGAGGGUCCAAUCACACAUGUCCAUUUUUGGUUGUAUCAUUCUCUAGGUUCAUUUACGUUAGAAGCAUACAAAUGAAGCCACACCAAGUUCCAUAUGUAGUUACCCUACUAUGCAUGAAUGGAUAUAUGUAAAUGCUCAAGAAUAGGAAAAAUAGAUAUAGAGGGGAAUCCAACGAUUCCGGCGUGCACCCCCCACCUCUAUGAGUCGUGUGGGUGUAGAAUAUUAAGGCCCCCGCACUAUACGAAAGCCGAUUCCGCGCCCUAUAAUCAAAUAGUGCCAUAUUAGGCCUUUUUAUACAUGAACUAUACUCUAACAUUUUCGAAAUAUUAAACGAAGUUGUCCGACGUGUUUUGGGCACCCCCAAUUGGGUUUCUACAGGGUCAAUUUGUCCCCGAAAAAUCCUAGGGCAAAAACCCCAAAUUCAAGCCCUAGUGUUGCCAUUUAGGGUUUCCCCAUGAAUCGAUCCCAACCCUAAGCAAAGAAUAGCUUAGGAUCAUCUAAGAAGCAUCCUAGUAAGGCUUCUAGACCUUUG